rnacentral:rRNA from 1 species
GAUGAACGCUGGCGGCGGGCCUAAUACAUGCAAGUCGAACGAACAGACGAUGAGCUUUCUCCUCUGACGUUAGCGGCUGACGGGUGAGUAACACGUGGAUAACCUACCUCUAAUUCGGGGAGAAUUUCGGAAAACCGGUGCUAAUAAUGGAUAAUAUAUUGAACGGCUGGAUGCAGGAGUGAAACACGGUUUUCCCGACAGUAUGAGAUGGUGCCGCGCCGGAUUAGCUAGUUGGUAAGGUAACGGCUCACCAAGGCAACGAUGCGUAGCCGAGCUGAGAGGGUGAUCGGCCACACUGGAACUGAGACACGGUCCAGACUCCUACGGGAGGCAGCAGUGGGGAAUAUUCCGCAAUGGGCGAAAGCCUGACCGAGCAACGCCGCGUGGGUGAUGAAGGCCUUCGGAUCGUAAAACUCUGUUAUUGGGAAAGAAAAGAUGUAUAAGUAACUAUGGACGUCCUGACGGUACCCAAAGAGAAAGCACCGGCUAACUUCGUG